rnacentral:misc_RNA from 1 species
CAUAAAUAAAGUACUCUUCUGAUGAUUGGAUCAGCUGAGAAUCCUUCUGCAUAUGCACCGAUAGCAGUUAAGAGGCUUGUGAAUUUCUCCCCAUUAUCCUCCGGUUUCUUGAAUAAAAGAUCUCUGGUGGUAAAUGGUACCAUAUAGAGUGGAAGAUCAGAUCGCAAGAUUGCCAGGUCCUUGCUCAAGAUAGCUUGUUCAGCAUUUGUUACCAACAUCUUCUUAAUACGUUCAUCUUCCACUUGAUCAACAUGUUGCAACAAAUUUUCUAACGUGCCAAAUCUAGUGAUAAGUUGCACAGCAUUGACAUUUCCAAUUCCAUCCACUCCUGGAAUAUUAUCGGAUUUGUCACCAACUAAAG